UACGAAGGGGGGCUAGCGUUGUUCGGAAUUACUGGGCGUAAAGCGCACGUAGGCGGAUUGUUAAGUUAGGGGUGAAAUCCCGGGGCUCAACCCCGGAACUGCCUUUAAUACUGGCAAUCUCGAGUCCGAGAGAGGUGAGUGGAAUUCCGAGUGUAGAGGUGAAAUUCGUAGAUAUUCGGAGGAACACCAGUGGCGAAGGCGGCUCACUGGCUCGGUACUGACGCUGAGGUGCGAAAGCGUGGGGAGCAAACAGG
rnacentral:rRNA from 1 species